AGAAUUAUUUUUCUUCCAGACAUUUGUGUGCGAGCGUGUUCUCCCCCGAUUUACUUUUUCCGAGCUUUGUUGUGGUUUGCAGUGUAGGUUAAGACAUUUAUCACAGUAAUCCCUGAUAAUGGUGUGCCCAAUUGUGUGGUGUUAUUUAGAAAAUUAAGUGUGCUCCCGCACCCCCUUGAGCACAAGUGAACUUUUCCAAGCAAAAAAAGCUUUUGCAGGGAAAGUAAUUUUGUGCGUCUCGUCCAAUCCUUUUGCUGGAUCCAAAUUCAUGCACCCAGCCGUACAUCAUGGCAGUCAAUUAUCAUAGCUUCAUCUGAUCAUCAAUCACGGGAGAUGCUAGAAGUUAAGGGGCGGAGCAUUGGUCGACCCAUCGAUUGCAGGAGUUUUGUCUUUUCCCCCCUUGUUCACGGUCCCCUGCGCACAAAGGCCAAAGCGGACUAUUCCGUUUAAUAUUUGGCUUCAUCAAUAGACAUGCUGUCUUUUGUGCAUGUGACAUCACAUAUCGACGGUUUCACAAAAAUGGCAAAAUACGUUGUCUACGGGAUAUUUGAUUUCCAAAAUUAAACAUGAAUCACGACUUUGUCAAGACAGACUGUAUAUGUGCACUUUAUUUUUACGGACACAGGGCAUAAUAACAAUGCAACUUCAGAGGUCAAUAAAGCAAAACAAAAUGAAUGAUUAGGAUGAUGAUGAUAGUGAUAACCACUGCAAUUAAGCAGUUUGAUUAAACGAGGCAUCAUAACAACAGUGAUGUUUGUGAAAACACCCCUCAUAUAAAAAAGUAAGAUAGUGCAGCGGUUGACAAACGCCAGUGGGCAUUCCAACACGCUUCUGCCUGAGUUUACCAAGGAGUGUUGACAAUGCAGGACACCGUCGAAAAUCCGCUCCCAAAAUACUUUUACGCAUUGUUCCCCCUCUGUUUCCCCCUAUAAGAAAAAGACGUACAGCUACUGAAGAUCCAGCCGCCUUCCGAGAUGUUCUUCAAAUAGUACUCUUCUGGUAUAUUUUCUGGUUUGUGCUUGCGAUUUGUCCUCCUAUACAGCAUGGUAUCAUGAAUCGUCAAUGGAGUGUCGAGAAGUACAAUAUAUGACAGAAAGUCAUAACAAGGAAGGAAAACGUAAAGGAAGACUAUAACGUUACGGAUCUGUAAUUAUUUUCGUGAUCUCGCUCUCAAAAUGGAAAGGUCUGAAUGUCCCCGACACUAAACAGAGUCAACGUUUUCUUUUGUUUAGUUUUGAUUGCCUUUCAUUCUUAGCUUGUGUGAGUGUGUUUUUAUUACCGUUUCGUCGUGCAUUGUUUUCCCGGCGGAUCGUAUAAAUAUCUUCAUUUCUUCUCAGCAAAACUUUGGAGUCUUCACUUAUUCGGGUAAGGAGGUGAUCCAAAGAGGAUAAUCACUACCAGUCCCUCGUGCAAAGGAAAGAACGCAAGAGCAAAUAUAGUCCGUAUUCUACUUCGAAAGUCCUAAUUUUACAGCGAAAAUGCAACCCAUCACUUCUUGACUGAAAAAAAAGCAAAAAGUCGUUAAAAAUGCAAAGGAAUGCCAGGUUGUUGAGUAAGCAAUAAGGCGGUGGAUGAUCUGUUGUUUUGUGAAGGUCAGGUCACGGGCGAGCUUUUCUCCCGCAGAUCAUUAGGUGUAAUUGGGUAAGUUUAAGUGGACUUAGGAUGCCUGUACUUAAGUUAAUAGCAAUGACCUUCUUGCGGCUGCCCUGUCCAACAUUAUUCAUCGUUGCCAGGCCGAUUUGAAAGCGAUUCUCACUCUAGCUUUCAAGAAGUAUUUCAGGAUACGACCCCUGUAAUAGCAUUGCGGGAAAUCCCAUCAUAUUUUUUGUUUGCUCUUUAAUAUGAUGUAAGAAAAGCAGAUAACAUUUAAUCUGAGUUCCAUUGUGUAUCAAUCAAUAUAAUCGUGUACUUCAGCGGUAAAUAUAAUAUUGAUUCAUUGAAUUACGAUGCAUGUUUUCAAAGCAUAUUGGACUUCAUUACAUCACACACUGUGAGUUAAACUAUUUAAAAUAAAAACAUUCUUGAGUGAAGUGCUUGCUAUUCGAAUCCUGUCUGGUAUCUUGAGAAAUAUAAACUGAAUGUCAUUUUCUCAAAUGCAGAUUGACAGAGAAUAUCGAUUUAAUUACUAAAUGAAUAAAAAUAACUU